GCACUUCGGUGUGAGUAGAGCGGCGGACGGGUGAGUAACGCGUAGAAAUCUACCUAGUAGUGGGGGACAACCUGGUGAAAACCAGGCUAAUACCGCAUACGUCCUACGGGAGAAAGCGGGGGAUCUUCGGACCUCGCGCUAUUAGAUGAGUCUGCGUAAGAUUAGCUAGUUGGUGGGGUAAAAGCCUACCAAGGCGACGAUCUUUAGCUGGUCUGAGAGGACGAUCAGCCACACUGGAACUGAGACACGGUCCAGACUCCUACGGGAGGCAGCAGUGGGGAAUAUUGCACAAUGGGCGAAAGCCUGAUGCAGCCAUGCCGCGUGUGUGAAGAAGGCUCUAGGGUUGUAAAGCACUUUCAAUUGGGAGGAAAAGCUAAUGGUUAAUAACCAUUAGCCUUGACGUUACCUUUAGAAGAAGCACCGGCUAACUCCGUGCCAGCAGCCGCGGUAAUACGGAGG
rnacentral:rRNA from 1 species